rnacentral:rRNA from 1 species
UACAGAGGGGGCAAGCGUUGUUCGGAAUUACUGGGCGUAAAGGGCGCGUAGGCGGCCUGUUAAGUCGAACGUGAAAUCCCCGGGCUCAACCCGGGAACUGCGUCCGAUACUGGCAGGCUUGAAUUCGGGAGAGGGAUGCGGAAUUCCAGGUGUAGCGGUGAAAUGCGUAGAUAUCGGGAGGAACACCAGUGGCGAAGGCGACUACCUGGCCUGUUCUUGACGCUGAGGCGCGAAAGCUAGGGGAGCAAACGGG